GCACCCGUAGCUCAGUUGGAUAGAGCGCUGCCCUCCGAAGGCAGAGGUCACAAGUUCGAAUCUUGUCGGGUGCGCCA
rnacentral:tRNA from 1 species